GUAAGUUUCAGUUCCUUGAUAAUAUCUGGGAGGCCUGAUGGUUGGCUUCAUGAGGAAGGAACUCAGAUUAAGACAAAUGUAACUUUCUCAAGUUUUAAGACUGGGAGGGUCAGUUUUCUUUCAGUUUCUUUCUUUUAUUCAAAAGAAACCACAAAUACCAGUUCUAUCAGACAGUUGGGCCAUUUUCAACUCAAGGCAUCUGAGUUCCUCCUCAUCAAGGCAAAUAUGGAGGGCAGGCAGAGAAGUUUUCUUGUAUCUGCAUCUGCUUCUGAUACGGACAGGGGACAGGGAAAAUACUGGUUAGAAGAGGGUGGAUCCCUGGCAAAGACCUCACCUUCAAGCCUGAAGACCUGCGGCCCUAAAUGAGGACAGGCAUUCCUGUUUUCAAGACAAAGAGGUUGCCUUUUGUCCCUCCACACCCUCUAUCCUGCCCCCACGUAAACCGCAAACCCCAAGCUCCACAGCAGAGCAGCAGGUGAGUAGAGGAGGAUACCAGCAGAUGGACGGUGGAACAGCACAGCAGGGAAAGAGAGAAGAGGAGAGACGUCUGGAUGCCAAGAGGAGUUCAGCUGGGGGCGGUAGGAAAGGAGUCCAGCCGCUGGGCGGCCUGACUCCAGGGGAAGAUCACCUUCCCAUUCCAUCCACCCACCGUCUGGCUCUCCAUCCAUCCCUCUGAAAGCCACCUCCACCACUCAAUAAAACCUCGCAUUCAUCCUUUGAGUCCGUGUGUGACCUGAUUUUUCCAGGACGCUGAACAAGAGCUCGGGAUACAGCAAGCUAUCAUGUUGGCCCUCUGCCCUUGUGAAAAGGCAAAAGGUCCAUUAAGCUGGUUAACAUUCAAGCUGUCUUCGGGCGGCCAAGCUGAAAGCUUUGUAACGCUGGGGCUGCAGGCAUCCACUCCUAGACACUACAGCCGGGCCAGACCCCAGAGCGCUCACCCCAGCCUCUGCACCUGCCUGUCUGCAUGCUCUCUGUCUCACAAGGGGAUUAAGCAGUGAGGCAACUGAACAGGCCCUCCGAACCCUGAAGAGAUCAUCAUAUAUAUGUGCUGCCGAAGCGAGCACUCCUGAAGAGAUUAACUAAGAGUCUAGCACCUUUUAAGGUCUGAAUAGGAAACAUCUGUCAUCUAUUCUCUCUAAGGGCAGCCACUAUAAGAGUUCAAAAGAAACUUGCUCGCCACAAUCUUUUUUUUUUUUUUUUGAGAUGGAGUCUCACUCUGUUGCCCAGGCUGGAGUAGAGUGGCACCAUCUUGUCUCACUGCAACCUCCACCUCCCAGGUUCAAGUGAUCCUCCUGCCUCAGGCCCCCUAGUAGCUAGGAUUACAGGCACGCAUCACCAUGCCUGGCUAAUUUUUUUUUUUUUUUUGAGAUGGAGUUUCAUGCUGUUGCCCAGGCUGGAGUGCAAUGGCGCCAUCUUGACUCACUGCAACCUCCAUCUCCUGGGUUCAAGCCAUUCUCCUGCCUCAACUUCCCGAGUAGCUGGGAUUACAGGCGCCUGCCACCACGCCCAGCUAAUUUUUGUAUUUUUAGUAGAGAAGCGGUUUCACCAUGCUGGCCAGGCUGGUCUCGAACUCCCGACCUCAGGCUAUCCGCCUGCCUCAGCCUCCCAAAGUGCUGGGAUUAUAGAUGUGAGCCAGUGCGACUGGCCUAAGUGCUGGGAUUACGGGAGUGAGCCGCUGCGCCUGGCCUAAGUGCUGGGGUACAGGCGUGAGCCACCAGGCCAGCGAAGUCUCCACAAUCUUUUUUUUCUUUUUUUUUUGAGGCAGAGUCUCCCUCUGUCACCAGGCUGGAUUGCAGUGGCGAUCUCGGCUCACUGCAACCUCUGCCUCCCAGGUUCAAGCAAUUCUCCUGCCUCAGCCUCCUGAGUAGCUGGGACUACAGGAACGCACCACCAACCCCAGCUAAUUUUUGCAUUUUUGGUAGAGACAGGGUUUCUCCAUGUUGGCCAGGAUGGUCUCCAUCUCUUGACCUCGUGAUCUGCCCACCUCUGCCUCCCAAAGUGCUGGGAUUAUAGGUGUGAACGACCGUGCCCGGCCCCCACAAUCUUUUAUCUUAACCUGAGCAUUUCCUUUCUAUGGAUCCCAGGUCUUUAGACAAACUCAUCCAAUUGUCAACCAGAAAAUGUUUAAAUUUACCUAUAGCCUGGAAGGCCCCCCGACCGACGCCCUCCCGCCCCCGCCCCCGCCGCCCCUCCACUGCCUUAUCUGCUUUGAGUUGUCCCGCCUUUCUGGACCAAACCAAUGUACUUCUUAAAUGUAUUUGAUUAAUGUCUCAUGCCCUCCCUAAAAUGUAUAAAACCAAGCUGCACCCAACCACCUUGGGCACAUGUUCUCAGGAUCUCCUGAGGGCUGUGUCACAGACCAUGGUCACUCAUAUUUGGCUCAGAAUAAAUUUCUUUAAAUAUUUUACAGAGUUUGACUCUUUUUGUCAACACUGUGCACUUCAAAAAUGUUCAUGUCAUAGAAAACAAAGUUUGAGGAACUGUUCUAGAUUAAAGGAGC
rnacentral:lncRNA from 10 species